UAAACAACCUCUUUGUGGAGCGUGUCUUAAAACUUGUGACCAGCUGGGUGAGGGGCCUUCGUAUCAAUUUCAAGCCUGUGGAGAGGGGAGCAUAACAGGUCCCUGACUGCUCCAGCCACCUCCUGCCUGCCAAGGAAUGCUGGAAUCAGAGGUCGUUAUUGCACAAGUAAUUAAAGGUUCAUCAGCCCUACCUCUCUGAUUGCUUAAGGCCAUUGUAGUAAGGGACAAAUACUCCUGCUUGCCCACUGUUAUUUGUUUUCUGCUUGCUCUGUUUUUCUUGGCUUGAGAAGAGGAAUUAUGAAGACUCUUGAGUAGGAUCUGGGAGUGCUACGGUCUAAUGCAUUUGGCUGUGGCCCUGGGUAUGUUGUGGAACACGCUCGUACUGAGAAGUGGAGUGUCUUCAGGGCCCUCUCUCUUCCUGCUUCUCCCCCAAAUCCAGACGUCAGAGAGAUGGUUCUCAAAAAGGAGGGCCAAGUUGCACAGGCCCUGGCACAGAGUGGGUGAAGCCAGGCUUGGGGAUGUCUGUAGAGUGGUGCCUCCGAAUGGCUGAAGUGCCUCCUGCCCUCACAUUAGCAGAUACAGGGGUUUUAUUACAGCUGAGUUGGAUGCCAAAAAAGUGAGAUUGGUUUAUAAGCGAGGGUUUCCUAUGGAUUUUCUUAAAGGGAUUCUUUUUUUCUUUCUGUGGUUUGAACUCUGAAGUUCAGGUUUUUGUAUGUUUUCUCUCCAUUAUAGUAUGUGAGAAAUUACUUUGUUUUUUAAAUAGACACUGAGACUCACAUAUGGGCAGGGGCCUCUUAAAAAAAAGAAAGUACCAAAUAUUGUGAGUCUUUGACAGAAUCACAAGAGCAGGGCAGACUGAGCCACCCACCCUUUAACCAUCUGUCCCUUGAGAUCUGGAGAGUCUUUUAUCGCUGGGGAGCACAGCCCACAGACGUGGGAAGUCAUGUUGCUGUCCUCCAGUUUUUUCUUCUGUAGGUGAAUGUUCACCACCACCACCAAAUAAACGAGCCCCCGUUAUACUGACUCUCCUUGUGCUUCCAGAGCAGCGGAAGAAACAGCUGAGAAGGAAAUGAGAGCUGGCUUUCAGCCCCCUUGGUCCAGUAACAUCAUGAAUGAGCCUCGCAGUAUGGCUGGUGCAGGGUGGGCAUUUCCCUCCCUCCUGGGAGCAUAGAAGAGGACCAAGCUUGGACUGUGCUUGCUGCCUGCACCCCAAAAGCCUCCUUGUUGCUGAAGGCGUUUUGCCCUGGAGAGCCUGGCUGCAGGGGCUUGGCUGUAGCUCAGGAACAGCUUGAAGGGCAUGUGUUGGGUAGGCAGAUGGAGCAGAUGAUGGAGAUGAUCUGCAGAAGAAGGGGAAGUGGUGUGAGAAGGGGAAUGAUAAAAGGGCAGCCGCGUGGGUGACCCUGUGGGAUCAGAGGAGGGCAAUAACUUAUCUCAAAACGAGUGAGGGGCCAGCCACGAAGUUGCCUGGAAUAAGCGGCUGAGGCAGAAAAGGGCUGGUGGAACUAUUAAGUCUGGCAGACCUGAGGUUAUUCUCUGUGUGCGUCUGCGGGGGAGUCAAAUAACUUCUUGGUCAGUCUGCAGAGGCUGUCUAAUCAACGGCCUCAGUGCUGGUCACAGCCCGGGAUGCUCCAAGGUAACACUAAUCCUGCCGCAGAGCAGAGGGGCGUCUCCAGAGGUCCCAGGGGCACUGCAUCUUGACACAUGAACGCAGCCCCCAAUGCAGCAGCCUUACAACAGACACUGCGUAAUGGCCUGUUUUGCAUUUGUAUUUCAUUUGCCUCCCAUAUGGGAUCAGUUUUUCCCUUUUCUUUAUUUUUUUUAAUAGCGUUUUUCCUAGUCAUAAUAAUCAGUAUUUCCCUGCCUUCCCUCCCCUCUUCAUUUUUCACAGCUGGCUUUGAUUGGUUUCAGUCCUGCAGAUGCUCCUUCGGACUGAGAAGAAGGGGCAAAGGUUCCCUUCCUUUUCAACAUGAGGCAGACGGCCUUGCCCGCAGGGUGGGGGAGGCCGGCGUGCUCCCGGACUAGCCGACUCUUUGCUGUUGCCCCAGCUGGCCUCUUGUGCAUCGGGUGAGGUUUGCCAAAUUGCGAGAUAAUUUCUCUGCCGAAGGCCUGGAGAUGAUCACAAGCUGUUGAUGGCGUGCAUGCCCCUUCACUCGCACCAUUCAAAAAUAGCUGUUCUUGCGAGCAAGAGGAGCAGAAUCCCCAAACUCCUUGUGCUCACCAGCUAUGGGCACAGAGGGCCAGAGUGCAUCUGUGAUCUGCAGAGAGCGUGCUGAGACUGACUUGGAUUUCUGUGUCUGUGUGCCGUCAGGCUCAUGGCAACCGCAGCCCCAUGUGUCUGGCUGUGCAAGGUAUGCGGUCCUCCGCACAGGGCACGAUGAACCUGUGCAACCCUGCAUAGCCCACCACCAAAAGGAACUGGCAGCUGCUCGGGUGGAAAGCACGCCGAGUGCGUGAAUUGGCAUGGGAAAAAAAUAAUUAUCGGAUGGACGGGCAGACUUUCCUGAUUUUUAGGGCAUGAGUCAAACAUGAAUUGCAUAGCAGAAAGAAGAAACUUCCCCUCAGAGACAACCUAAUCCACAGUUGCCCAAUGUGGGGAUUCUAGCAACUUCCUUCGAAGCAGCUUGCGCUGGUCACUGUCAGAGACGGACGGUUGAGUCGACAGUCGCUCAGCCGAUGUGUUAUGGCUAUUCCUGCAUUCCAGGCACCAUCCAAGAGAAUGAGACAUAGCAUUGCACAAGACCAAAAGAAAGUAAAUGUUUACAGGCACAACGCACAUUUCAGCUUGUUACAUGUUCCUGGGCAGUGAAAGAAAUGAAACAAUGAUUAAAACAGGUCCCAAGUCUCAGUGUGUAUCUUGGCUUGCAGCACAGCCCUCUUGGAGCGCUGCCUCUGCCUCUCUCUGAUCCCAGCCUGAGCGGUACCACUGGGCCGCUGCAUCCAGGUCAAGGUCCUUCCCGUUAUUCCAAGUACAUUGUCCUUCUGAGAACUGCAAAAGCCUUUUGAUGAGGUGGCUUUAUGGCUUGUGAUGGAUUCGGGUGCUUGGUGUUCCCCCCCCAGGCACACAGCAGCUGGCAUGCAGGGAUCUCCCCAGCUGACUAGGAGAUGUUUGCCUUGGGUAUCCAAAGUGUCAGUGUGAGGGAAAUCAUAGAUGGACUUAUUCCCAUGGGAGAGGAGGGUUGAGACAAGUAGAGGAGCGGAAGCAAAGCAGACAUUUAAAUUGUUUCUUCCCUAAAUUAUCUCUUUUUAAUGGUCUAGUUUGGCUCUGCAUGCAUUCAGCGAAGCAAUUGGGGUGCAGUGAAGCCGAUGUAGUGAAGGGCUGUGUUGGCACACCUGACAGGAGUAGCUACCUCUGCUCUCCUGCUCUAAGUACAAGGUUGGUCACAGCACAGCUUGGAGGCUGGGAUGUCUCCCUGCGGUUUGUUUCAGCCCUCCUGUCACAUGUUGUUCAGUGUCGCUUGGAGCCCAGGAGCCGGGGGAGCCUACUUCGCUGCUUGACUUCUCAAGAACUCCAGAAUAGGCCUGUGCAACACAAACCUCUCUAUUUUUAAUGGGGCCUGUCCAAGGUAUGGUUUCCUAUUGUCAUCUGGCCUAACUGGGUCACUGUUACACCUACUGGUAUAACACUGCAAACACUUGUAGGCUGAUGCCAUUACUGCGUGAUGACAUUUCUCUGGCUGUCCAAAUAUUUCCUCUGACUUGUAUUUUCUGUAACAUCAUUUUUUCUCCUGUUUUCUAUGGCUUACUAUACAUUUCUCUGCUUUCUUUUUCUUUUUUUCCUGGUCUCCAGCUAUUCUUGCAACACAUGCAAAAAAAGUGCACAACUGUCAGAUAUUAUUGUAGGACUCACAGUGACUACCUAUCAUUUUUGCUGCAAACACGAUAGUUCUUUUCAGUUGUCUUUGCAAAAUAAAACUAUUUAAUCAAAGAAGAAAUCUUAUUUUAAAAAAAAGUAAUCCUGUCAGCCUUUAAAACAUGCAGUGCCUUGAUUUGUGGUUCCCAUAAAAUAGUGUGUCUUCAGCCAGAGUUGAGUUAUUGCCUUAAGUGGCAGAAGAAAUGAAAAAUGGUGGAACCCUGUCUCCCUCUAACGCACGUGUUCUGGGGGUCACCAGUGAUGUCAUACCUGUGGCUGCGUCCCUGUGGCCCCAGCUAUUUAUUUUUAAGCAGAAAUAUUAUUUCCUAAUCUCAGUAAAACAAUCCAGACAGUGAAUUGUGGUAUAAUUACUGUAUCUUUCCCUUGGCUGUAUUUGCCGGAGUUCUGGCUCUGCGCACUGGAGGACCACCUCGAUCGUUUUAUACUCGCUUGGUUAUGCCCUGCCGGUCGAUCUGCUGCGUUAUCACGGAGAGCCGGCUUGUCGUGAUGCCUAUGGAGGAUGAUAUAUGCAUAUCUGCACACUUAUGCUAAUGCAGACUGUGAUCCCUCUGAGGGCCUCUGCCCUGCGUGAUGCAGCACCCCAUGGAGAUGCCCAAGGUAGCUCCGGCGCUCGGAGGAAUGCAGUUGUGUCAGUGUGAUACCGCAGCCGAGCCAAGCAGCUUGGGAGGCUGGCUGGGCUUGGCCACAGGCCAUGCUGAUGUGGUUCUCCUGCUCUUCAGAAUAAUCUAGUCUCUCCGUAUGGGCCUACAUCACGCUGGCUGGAUGUCCCAGCUUGUUUGGAGUCAGCUCAGGGAAUCUCUGUGAGGAAUUGGUGCUCCUGCGAGCUGAGCAUGUGAAUCCCUGGUGGCCAGAAGGUGAUAGUUGAUUCUCCUGGGCUGUCCGUUUCUUGGCUCAGUCUUCCAGACACGUGUAUGUGCUAGACUUGAUGCACCUGGCCUCAUCUUCACCACAGCUGUGUAGCAGAGAGCAACAUCAGAAGGGAGCAUCAAUUCCCUUUACCCUCAUGAUGACCAUAAAUGGUACCUGAACUUUCUCUGUAUGCCUAGUUUGAAAGCUUUGGU